CCGUCUUUUACCGUCUUCGUGUCGCAGCUUCUUUUCUCCGUCUGAAUGAAACAUGAGUGAAGACACAGAUUCUCGGACAGGAAGUGCAGCUGUAACCACAUGAACAGGAAGUGCAGAUGCAGUCCUUCAGCAGUUGGAUUCACUGCAGAAAUACAGACCAACCAACAGCUGGAAGACAAACCAACAUCUGGACGUCCAAGAGUUUCUUCAGCAAGAAAUGACCUCAUCCUGAUCCACAUGGAAAUUUUCUUUUAACGUCAAACAGAGUCGUAACCUGCAUGGUCAGAAAAUAAAAGUGAUCCAGAGAACAGACCUGGUCCUGAGAAUCACUUUAUGUAACAAAACACAACACAGGAGACACGAUGACAUCAGAGGUGCUCUUGAACAUCCUGGAUGAUCUGGAUGAUGAUCAGCUGUCUAAAUUCCAGUGGUUCCUGCAGAAACCCAACAAUGUUCAAGGCCUCCCAGCCAUCACAAAGAGCCGACUACAGACACUAGACAGGUGUAAAACUGUGGAUGUGAUGGUGGAGACUUAUGGACUUCAGAGAGCUGUGCAGGUGACCAGGGUGGUUUUAGAGAAGAUCUCCAGGAAUGAUCUGCUGCAGAGGUUUCCUGCCAGCAGCUCAGGACCAGAAGGUCAGUCACAAGACAAGAACAACAUGAUAUCAUUACAGUCAGAAAGAUGCAUGAUGGUGCUGCUACAGUUUGAUAGAGUUCAGGUUCUGUCAGUUUUUCGAG